UGAGUAACUGGAAGGGGUGGAGCCAGGAUCCACCCCUUCCCAGACCUCAUUUAAGGGCUGGCACUGGAGACAAAUGGGUAUCAUUGAAGAUUCCUGUGUACUGGAGGUCUUCUAAGGCGCAACUGCAGGAGGUGGAGCUGGAUCAUCUUUUCAUUUGAGAUUCAUUAAAAGAAUGGCAAUCAGGCUGCAGCUGUACUGCUAAAAAUCUGUUUUAAUUAUAAACAACAAUAAAAAUCCAAGAACCCAAAUGGGCUCCCAACACACAAGUCAGUGGAAAAACUGGAUGUGGAGUCUUUAAGCAGCGACAGUACUUGAACUGCAACAAUGCCUGAACACCAGGAAAAUCCAUGUCUUCACCUACAAACAAAAUGGCUUGGGACAGAAAGAUAAGCAGUGGUUUGGCUCUGACACCUCACACACACUGACCAUGCAGUGACUUUCAGAGACAGAAGUAUGUCUUCUGGAGCACAUUCUUAAGUGAAGUUAACAGCACAAGGUCAGCUGUGCAAAGGAAUCGAGCAGAACCUUCUCACUUCUUUUCUUUUAUCUGAGUGAAAUGCAGGCAAUGACCAGGGCACUGGAAGAAGUGUUUUUAUGCUGGGCUGGAGAGAAGAUGCCUCACGUGAAAAGCAGUCUCUCUAACAGCAUGAGGACAGAACUCCAUUACCCUUCUUUUAAAGCACAUAACAGUGACUACAUGAUUAGGAGAGCAAGCUUUUGAAAAAUCCAGCUGCUGUCUUCAGCUUUCUGAUUUACUGCAGCUGUUAAUUCCUCCUCUUGAAGGUGCAGAUCACUAUUUCUGUUUAUUCUUUCUAGAUUUACUUGUCCCCAUAUCCAGAAGUGAAGUUCUUUUCAAAGCUGUUCUUCCUUAACCUGUAGGAGGAGGUAGAGGGGGAAUAGCAGCAUGCUCAACUGGAUUUCUGUGCACUGAUGCAUGCACAACAAUUUGUCAACAGAUCAUGAAGCUUCUCUCAAAGUACUGACUGCAAAACAGUGCCCAUGAGAAAGGGACUCUGCUUCGCUCUAGUUUCUGAUGACUGCAGUAGAGGCCAGCCAGCGGGUAAUGGGAUAGAGAGACAGAAACCUUGGCUCUGUUUGACUUUGUGACAGGCUUACUAUGUGACAUUGAAAAAAUUACUUUUCACGUGUUUUCCCUCCAUCCUUUAUCUGCCAGUCCUUGAAAGCUGUGCUCUCUUUGGAACACCAUCCUCUUCCAGCAUGUUGUGCGUCUCCUGCCUCUUUUCUGCUCUGGGAACCCUACCUGCACUUUCAAAGCAAUUAUUUUCAACAACCCAAAGUUCCUGAAUUCCUUGCCAAAGAAAGGAAGAGAGAGGAAGGUGGCUUCUUAUCUUCUUGAUAAAUGAGUUUAAUACUGCACAUGCUUGAAAUUCAAUUUGUACACCAAUAUGCAUAUCUCAGAAGGGAAUGAGCACUUACAAUAUUCAUGUUGUGAACCACAAAAUUAACUCAAUAACUUAAUUCUCUGCCAAAAAGCAUUGGGUGAAGCCAUCAGAAGAGUAGCCUUAGUUUUUACGGGUACACUGGCCAAGUAUAGAACUCCAAGUAUUUCAUAUUCCUUGGCUCCAAGAAAGAUGAGGCACAGGAAAGACCUUGAAAAUGCAGAGGUUUGGCUUUGUUUUGCUUUGCUGAGUAGGUCUUUCUCGCUCCUACAGGAGUGAGAAGAGGAGAAAGCAUCUCUUCUGAAGGCAGUGGCUUCCCUCCAUUCCCUCUCUCUCGUUUCCCUCAAACAGCCAUGAGGGCUCUGCUGCCCUGCCCUGUCCUGUCCACCUCCUUAAGAGAUGCAGAUAAACUCAACAGCAACUGCUGAAUGGAGGAGGUGAAGACUGAAGUGAAACCUGGACCUUGCUCAAGCCAAAUAUUUGAGCACUCUGCAUCAGAGCAAACUGGCAAGUCCUCACUCUUCUAGGGAAGAUUAAUAUUCUCCAUCACUUUAUUUAUAUAAUUUUAUCUCUCAUCAAAACAACAGAUAAAUCUUGUCACAUAAAAACCAAAGCUCUUGAAGCUUACUGCGCAUUCUCUUCUUUAUCAGUCAGUAAUCCCAAGUGCUAAAACAAAUACCUAAAGGCGUGAUUUAGCCCUUAGUGCUUUAAAAUAGUCAAUAGAUGUCUAAAGUGGGCUUUUGAGAUGUGAGCUCAGCCAGUCUCCUCUGUA